rnacentral:rRNA from 1 species
AGAGUUUGAUCCUGGCUCAGGACGAACGCUGGCGGCGUGCCUAAUACAUGCAAGUCGAGCGGACUUGAAGGAGUGCUUGCACUCCUGAAGGUUAGCGGCGGACGGGUGAGUAACACGUAGGCAACCUGCCCUCAAGACUGGGAUAACUACCGGAAACGGUAGCUAAUACCGGAUAAUUUAUUUCGCAGCAUUGUGGAAUAAUGAAAGACGGAGCAAUCUGUCACUUGGGGAUGGGCCUGCGGCGCAUUAGCUAGUUGGUGGGGUAACGGCCCACCAAGGCGACGAUGCGUAGCCGACCUGAGAGGGUGAACGGCCACACUGGGACUGAGACACGGCCCAGACUCCUACGGGAGGCAGCAGUAGGGAAUCUUCCGCAAUGGGCGAAAGCCUGACGGAGCAACGCCGCGUGAGUGAUGAAGGUUUUCGGAUCGUAAAGCUCUGUUGCCAAGGAAGAACGUCUUCUAGAGUAACUGCUAGGAGAGUGACGGUA